rnacentral:misc_RNA from 1 species
AACCAUUCUCACCUGCGGCUAGACCUGCGGAGGGAUCAUUACUGAGUCACGUGCUCAAACAACCCUUCUGUGGACCUGAAAUAAAACCGUUGCCUCGGCGGGCGGUCCCCCCCAAACCAACCCCACGUGGUGGGUUAGGGGAGACCAGACAGUCCGGUACGCUUAAGGCGUCCGGCGCCAGCCGCUGGCCCCAAACAGUUAAACUCUAGUAAUCUUUACCUUCUGAAUUUCAAUAUUUAA